rnacentral:rRNA from 1 species
UGGGGAAUAUUGCACAAUGGGCGCAAGCCUGAUGCAGCCAUGCCGCGUGUAUGAAGAAGGCCUUCGGGUUGUAAAGUACUUUCAGCGGGGAGGAAGGGAGUAAAGUUAAUACCUUUGCUCAUUGACGUUACCCGCAGAAGAAGCACCGGCUAACUCCGUGCCAGCAGCCGCGGUAAUACGGAGGGUGCAAGCGUUAAUCGGAAUUACUGGGCGUAAAGCGCACGCAGGCGGUUUGUAAAGUCAGAUGUGAAAUCCCCGGGCUCAACCUGGGAACUGCAUCUGAUACUGGCAAGCUUGAGUCUCGUAGAGGGGGGUAGAAUUCCAGGUGUAGCGGUGAAAUGCGUAGAGAUCUGGAGGAAUACCGGUGGCGAAGGCGGCCCCCUGGACGAAGACUGACGCUCAGGUGCGAAAGCGUGGGGAGCAAACAGG